rnacentral:lncRNA from 1 species
GCCAGAACACUUGCUCUAAAUUUUGGUUCUUUCCUCCCGUCUUUAAAAACCAUUAAAAGUUCAUGAUUUGCUACCCUUCUCUUAUCUCCGGCCUCCAUCUUUCACUACUCUUUAUUCACCAAUUAUGAUAGUAAUGGCAAACCGCAUGAGAAUGCUGCUAUUAACCCUUUCCACUGUCAUAACAAUCAACUUCUCAUUAUCAUCAACAAUUUCUGAAGUUUCUAAAGAACAAAUACCAUGCACAAUGUGCUAUUCCUGUGACAAUCCUUGUCAGCCUUUACCAUCGCCGCCUCCGCCUGCUAUCCCUGAAUGUCCACCGCCUCCUCCCCCACCUUCUCCACCGCCACCAGCUAUCCCCGAGUGUCCACCGCCACCAGCUCCUAUUAAUGAGUGCCCUGCGUGUCCAACACCACCGACACCAUUUCCGCUCCUAUUAAUGAGUGCCCUGCGUGUCCAACACCACCGACACCAUUUCCGCCUGUGCUGCCCCCUAAGCAGUCGUAUUGGCCGGGUGCUGGCUAUUCCUUUAAUGGACCACCAGCUGGUUACGGGAACAAUCCAGUGCCUUACUUUCCAUUUGACAAUAACAACCCACCACCUUCUUUCUCUUUCAAAUCCGUUCAUUUGAAGCUGCAGUCCAUUGUUCUCUGUAUUUUUCUUUCGCUUACUUUUCUAUGCUUCUUCUAAAAAUUAACCUCUUAGGCAGCUUGGAACUCAGAGGAGAGGAAAUUCCAUUUAACAAAGCAGCAGGCCCCGGAACUGCUAAUCUAAAAGAAGAAAUAUGGCUUAGCGCCUGGCAGUCAAUUCUAUAUAUGAAGGAUUUUUCUGUUUCCUGUCCCCUGUAAUUGUUCAAUAAAUAUUCAUGCAUGUUAUACAUAUUUAAGAUAGUAAAAUACAUAAAUCUGUAAUCCCAAAUGCGAAUUUAGCAUGUAAUUUUCAUUUUUUAUUCCCCACAUCAAUCCAGUUCAUGCGUGUGUUUGACUGUAACAUCUAGACGCUUGUCUUGUCUUUGAUUAGUUUAAACUCUUCCUUCAAUAAUAGGUAAUUUAAAGGGUAUCAAUUAUAGAUUUGGA